rnacentral:sRNA from 1 species
AGUAAGAGCGUUUUCUUUUGAUGUUUAUAACACAAGUUGUAAUUGGCAGAUUACAAAACAUUUUCUACAAACAGGACAGGGUAUGCUAUAAGUAACAUUCUUACUGCAGAAGGUGACAGGCGUUGGUUAUUUGUACUUCUCUUGCUCAAUUAUUACAGUUUUAAACAUAAAGACAAUGAUUUCAAGUUUUAUUUGGUGAAGAAACGGGAAUGCUUCAUGAUUGAGGAUCAGUAUGAUGACUGAAGACCUUGAUUCUAGUGUGCUCAGUAGUUUAGUUCCUUAGACAUGCCUUUGGUUUCAGUCAUUUGGUGAGUAUUUAGUGCCUCUCACAUGCACUGCACUGUGCGGAGAGCACUUGGAUUACAGGAAGCAUGCUCUGUACUCUCAGUGGUGUGUUCAGUUGAAGAAACACAUCUAAAAUAACUAAAAGAUAUUCAGUUACUAGACUAGGUAGUAUUGACUAAGUUCAGGAGUUGAGAAAAGGAUUAGAUCAGUGAAAAAAUAGACUGCCUUGUGAGCAAUAGCAGAUAUGGGCUGCACUUUGAAACGAACAGGUGGGAUUUGCAGGGAAGGGUAUUCUGAUUGGGAUAAUGGCUCGUAGGAGACAGUGAAGAUCAGGACUACCAAAAUGGAAUGGAUGGGCCUGUUGGGGAUUAGCAGAAGUGCUUAGGUGGGUGGAAUUACAGAGGGCUAGGAAAGCCAGACAGAGCUAGUCAAAAUGAGACCUGAUGUGAAAGGCCACUAGAGCACCAGCCUUUUUAAUCUGAAAGCUCUGCUUCCUCUGUUUCUUUAUCCUAUUGCUGUUUGUUGACCACAUAAUUAUUUGUUUACGUCAUCAGCUGGCACAGGGCCUUUAUGAGGUCAGAGACUGCCUAGCCCUGUGUUCCUGGCACCUAACAAUGCCUGUCAUAAAAACAGGCAUUCAGUACGUUUUUGAUGAUGAACAAAUUAUACUUAUUUCCUUGGUAUUUGACAACUACUUGACUGUAUAUGAUGAUAAUUAGAAUAUUCACUCUGAGAAAUCAUUUAAAAGAGAAAACUCAUUCAAUGCAAUCUCAAAUGCCUUUACUCAUCACGCUCUCAUUUUCUUCCAGAUUCCUGGUGCCCCUGAUGAUGAAGCAGUACGGAUAUUUUUAGAAUUUGAGAGAGUUGAAUCAGCAAUUAAAGCGGUUGUUGACUUGAAUGGGAGGUAUUUUGGUGGACGGGUGGUAAAAGCAUGUUUCUACAAUUUGGACAAAUUCAGGGUCUUGGAUUUGGCAGAACAAGUUUGAUUUUAAGAACUAGAGCACGAGUCAUCUCCGGUGAUCCUUAAAUGAACUGCAGUCUGAGAAAAGAAGGAAAAAGGUCACAGCCUCCAUGGCUGUUGCAUACCAAGACUCUUGGAAGGACUUCUAAGAUAUAUGUUGAUUGAUCCCUUUUUUAUUUUGUGGUUUUUUAAUAUAGUAUAAAAAUCCUUUUAAAAAAACAACAAUCUGUGUGCCUCUCUGGUUGUUUCUCUUUUUUAUUAUUACUCCUGAGUUGAUGAUGUUUUUUGUUAGAUUUCAUGGUAAUUCUCAAGUGCUUCAAUGAUGCAGCAUUUCUUGCACU